rnacentral:tRNA from 1 species
GGGGCGUUAGCUCAGUUGGUAGAGCAGUUGACUUUUAAUCAAUUGGUCGCAAGUUCGAAUCCUGCACGCCCCACCA